rnacentral:rRNA from 1 species
AGCGAACGCUGGCGGCAGGCCUAACACAUGCAAGUCGAACGAACCUUUCGGGGUUAGUGGCGGACGGGUGAGUAACACGUGGGAACGUGCCUUUAGGUUCGGAAUAACUCAGGGAAACUUGUGCUAAUACCGAAUGUGCCCUUCGGGGGAAAGAUUAAUCGCCUUUAGAGCGGCCCGCGUCUGAUUAGCUAGUUGGUUGAGGUAAUGGCUCACCAAGGCGACGAUCAGUAGCUGGUCUGAGAGGAUGAUCAGCCACAUUGGGACUGAGACACGGCCCAAACUCCUACGGGAGGCAGCAGUGGGGAAUCUGGCGCAAUGGGCGAAAGCCUGACGCAGCCAUGCCGCGGGAAUGAUGAAGGUCUUAGGAUGGUAAAAUUCUUUCACCGGGGACGAUAAUGACGGUACCCGGAGAAGAAGCCCCGGCUAACUGCGU